rnacentral:misc_RNA from 1 species
AUGACUUCAUGCAAGUAUCUCGGGUGGCAAGACAAAUGGUAGAGAGGUUUGGAUUCAGUAAAAAGAUUGGACAAAUUGCGAUUGGUGGACCGGGCGGAAAUCCGUUCUUAGGUCAACAGAUGUCAUCCCAGAAAGAUUACUCUAUGGCAACUGCAGAUAUUGUGGAUGCAGAGGUUAGGGAGUUGGUAGAGAAAGCAUAUUCAAGGGCUAAGCAGAUUAUCACAACCCACAUCGACAUUCUUCACAAGCUUGCACAACUCCUUAUCGAGAAGGAAACCGUGGACGGGGAAGAGUUCAUGAGCCUCUUCAUCGAUGGAAAAGCUGAGUUAUAUGUUGCAUAGAAACAUAUCGACACGGAAUUGUAUUAUAAAUGUUAAAUAUACAGAUGAA